rnacentral:misc_RNA from 1 species
GAUGAAGAACGUAGCGAAAUGCGAUAAGUAAUGCGAAUUGCAGAAUUUCCGUGAGUCAUCGAAUCUUUGAACGCACGUUGCGCCCACUGGUAUUCCGGUGGGCAUGCCUGUUCGAGCGUCAUUAUCCUCCCUCAAACCCCGGGUUUGGUGUUGGACCGAAGUUGUGUGAACAACUGGUCUAAAAAACAAUGACGGCGUCCGUGGGACCCUCGGUGCAACGAGCUUUUAGGAGCACGCGCCGAGUUGCAAGGACCUUCCGGGCCGGUCUCCUUUUACUAUUUUACAAGGUUGACCUCGGAUCAGGUAGGAAUACCCGCUGAACUUAAGCAUAUCAAUAAGCGGAGGA